rnacentral:tRNA from 1 species
GGGGUUGUGGCUCAGUGGUAGAGCACUUGCCUAGCAUACAUGAGGCACUGGGUUCAAUCCCCAGCACCA